GUCUACGGCCAUGCCACCCUGAACAAGCCCAAUGUCUGAUCUCAGAAGUGAAGCAGGGUAAGGUCUGGUUAGUACUUGGAUGGGAGACCACCUAGGAAGACCAUAAAUAAUAAUGA
rnacentral:rRNA from 1 species